rnacentral:lncRNA from 1 species
GUUCAUGUGCAUUGAUAUGCACUUCUGAAUGUUUUGGAUAUGAUAAAGUUACCUUGUGCUGAUAUACACUGUGAUAUGACUUAUAGGAUUUUGGAUAUAAUGUAUGUGAGCUUCUUGUCAUUCACAUAAUUUUUUAUAUAUGGAUAUUUGAAUAUUGGUGUGAUAAAGUUGCAAUGAAACUAAUAUGAUAAGUGGUGCUUCUCUAUGGUGAUGUGUGUUAUGGUAUGGCUUGUGGAGAUAUUAUAUGUGUUGUUGUAGUGCAUUCCUAUAGACUUCAUUGGCAUUGCAAAUGUUAUUCCAUUUUUUUUAUUAUGGUACAUGUUCUGCAUUUAUGCUACCUUUAUUUCUAAUUGUUAUGGAGGCCAUAUGCUAUGGCUUUUUGAGGGUUGUUAACUAUUGUUCUACAGGUAUCUUAUAUUGAUUGUUAUGGUAGCUCUUGUACAAACUAAUGUUGUUUUGUCUUGCCAUGAUCACCUAAUUCUUGGUAUAUCAAGUAGAUUGGUGGAGCUAUUAAUACUUGUUAAUCUAAUGUGGUUUAAAUAGCUUGUUAAAGUAGUUCUCUUACUGAGAUCAUUCAAUCUCACUCUUGUUUUUCCCUCCCCAGGUUGUCCUUUGAAGCUAGCAUGGAGGGAAGUGGGUUAGUUGUACAACAUAUACUUUCACGGGAUCCCCCAUAAUGCUAAGAUGUAUUCUUCUAAGUUUAUGAUAUGUUAGGGUAUUCUUAUUCUUGAUUGUUAAAGAUGUAUGGUUAUCAUAAUGGAGAAUCACGCUUCAUAUAUAGUCUAUCUUUUGUUGCUUCUGCAUUGUGUUUGCUUCAAGGUAUAUGCUACCAAAAUUUUCUAGUUCGGCAUUUUAGUGUAGUUGUGUAGCAUCCUAGGGCUGCAUGAUACCUGGGGUGUUACACCACCACCCAUCGCCUCAACUUCCUCCACUCGACACCCUCGAGGAGCACUGUCGACCAUGCACAAAGCAAGCCUACCCAUAUUAAAAGGAAGAGAGAGAGAAAGAAAGAACCUACCGCCUCCGUCACGUGGGUCCACCGUUGUUACUCACAACCCAUGCACUGUGCUUCGAACUUUGCUCCCAGUGAGCCUCGCCCAAUGUGUGCUGGAGGCAUAUCUUUGCGCUAACCCUGAUCUUGAUUACUACAAGAAAUCUUCCGGUCUAUGACGAACCAAAAAGUGUCAUAAACGUGUUUUUUUUG